CCAAGACUGUUUUGCCGCCAUUCCAGCAGAGUGACUCGCGCGCGCGCCACCUCUAGCCGUCAAAACGUAGCGCUCAUUCCCCCUAUCCCUUCUGCAUCCCUCUCUAUCCCUCACACGUACGCCCCUACACGUCCUGGUUUCGCGAACAUUUCGUAAUUGCACGCGUUGCAUCGCCAAACAAUCCGUCCGAAUUCUGCCACCUAUCCCACCCAAAGAGACUAAUCCUGGCCGUGUUCGAGUUUGAUAACAUUAGGUCUUAAGGUACCAACUUCCCAGUUGAUCCAUUUUGAAGAAAAUACGUACAGUGUCACUAUUGACUUCGGGUUCUAGUGCGACCAUCGCAUUCACGCGUUAAUUCCAUUUGGUUACUCUAGAAAAUCGUGUAUGGGCUUAUAUUGAAGGUUUGGAGCCCUUAUCAGGGCCUUAUCCAUUAUUAUCGGUCGUAUAGUUUUAUCUGGAUUGUGUUGCAAGUGAUAGUUUUGGCGAUGUGGCGCGCGCGCGUCUCCACCGUUCGCUAGUUAGGCCUAAAUAUACCGCGGCGCGUCGGUAACGCGAAAUUUUUGCACGAAUGCGAUACAAAAGUGUCCAAUAAGAUUCUUAUAGGCCUAUUUAGAAAAGUGAUGGAUCACCCCCCACGGACCCCCAAGUAUACGAAUAAAAUGGUUUUCGAACGAACAACGUAUUAAAACAUUGUUUUUUUAACGAUUUUGUGAAGUGACUGUGAAUAGACUGCGCCGAACUAGUUUGAGUGUUCUGGAUAUUUUUAUGUCUGGAUGUUUCUGGAUUAUUCUCAUCGUACACGUAACAGCUGUCGAAGCCCCUGGACAUUACAUUUGAUAGAGUCAAUCCGUGGAUGACUGCAAUGCGUCUAACAGAAUCAUGAUACAUCUCUGAAAAUGGAGAAAUGAGUGUAAUCUAAAGAUGGUGGUGUUAGAAAAUACCAAUGGGAAAUGGCAUGGCAUCAGAUAAAAAGUCAUUGCUGUGGAAGUGAGAAAUAGACACCCAUCAAACAUGGAAGAUGACGGGCAAGAGAAAGGCAAUAACCACAAACUGAAGAGAGAAGAGUCAAGCCGUUACAGUCAUAGAAUAAUUUAAUGACAGAAACCCUUUUUGGGGUACUGCUCAGUCAGGAUAUGGGUAUUUGUACCGAGAUAGAUUUAUGGUUUCGUGUCUAUAGGCGAAGAUUACUUCCCAUCAGAUGAGCUAUCAGCUUGUCUGAAAUUCCUAUUAGAUACUCUUUUAUAAAAGAGUCGGUACUGACAAUUGUCAUUAAUGGCUAAAAUUCACUCCCACAAUGAAGAUGACACCCAACAAUAUUUACCUCAUUUAUUUAAAUCUGUCAUCUAUACGUAUAUAAACAUUACCCUCCUUCCUUUCACAAUUGAGUAAAAAAACAAAUGAUCGCAACAAAUUCACAAAACCUUCUAUUUGCGACCGCCAUCUUUAUUUCAUGCUGUCGUCAUAUGCCUUAUUACAGUCCAACGCCACCCCAUAAAUCUGUUUUGAGUACAAGCAUGAUUCCAAACAUAUCUAUUCGUAUAUACCUACAUCCGAACAAGGAAAGGGAUUGUCUCUAAAGAGAACUAGCAGCUUUACUGCUAGCAAUAUGCUGUCAGGUCGACCUCCACGCGGUCCCCUUUAGAAACCAUCGUGGUUAGUUCCUGAAGGUUACGUCGCAAAAGGCCGACUGACCUGCUUUCAUUAUCACUCACUGGUACCUCAUCGGCGUAUCCAGAGGGCCUACCGUCAAGUAUUUUCCGAAAUUUCGGGGACGAACGAAACAGAAAUUUGAUGUUAAAAUUACAUAAUACAUGCCGUUUAAAAUUAUUAAAAAUGUUAAAAUAUCGUUCCUCUGGACUAUUAGGAUAGAAUUUAUGAUGAACAAAAUGUUAAGCUCCAUUUACUGGGUCGAUUUCGCUACGAACAAAAACACGAAAUUGAGCCCUGAAUUUUGGAAUUUCGUUUCAUGGUAGACCACCUGGUAACGGAGGCGGGGUUAUCAUUCCAUUUCCAUCCCAUCCCAGAAGUAAAUUUCAUUAUAAACCAAAAUAAACCCAAACAAGUAAAUUCUGCUCUGCAAAAAGACAGUCACUUCAUUUAUUAAGACACGUAUACGUGAUGAACGGAGAGAUGUUACGUAGAUAUUGAAAAUAUCUGUACUUAGAAUGAACACACACGUGUGUCUACGAGUUGAUAUUACUUCGCAACAAACAUUGUUUUGUUCUACCUUUAUAGUAUCAACACAAGAAUAAACUAUAUUUUUUGAAAAAAAUUUGUAAAACUCUAUUAUAUAUAGUAUUUUCUCUUUCGUAUAUAUCUUAAAACAAAUCGUUAACAAUUGUCAAUCAAUUUUGUUAAUAAUUUUUUACAACUGAUGCUCCCACGAUAGUCUGACAUUACUUUUAUUGCGAUUACACCAGCUAUUUGUUGCGAAGUAAAAUCCACAUGAUUCCAUGUUCUAAAAUUUAAACAUUUAAAAUCGUAAUAAUAUUUAUUUAUUCUAAAGAUUUAAAUACCUUUUUAGCCGAGAAGAUUCCUUAUUUCGAGUGAAUUUAAUUUCACGGAUUCUGUCGUAAAUUUUUUAUCAUUACACCUUGUAUAUAAAAUAAUAAUAUAACGGAAAAUUUCCUCAAAAUGACAAUAAACGACAAAAAUUGCGAACUGCCCAAGGUCAUAUGAGAAUUUUUAAGUUUUUACUAAAUCACUGUGCCACUAGUGUGAACAAAAUUGGUUUUUACAUUACGUUAUAUUAUUUAUAUGCCUACCUAUUUAUAAUUUUUUUUUUAAAUAUUUAUCCUACUUAUUUUGUUGCUGUCUCUUUUCCGCGAAUGGUAAAUCCAAAGGUUUAGGCCUUUAGGUUUACCAGAUGUAGCAUUAUGGCCCCCUUAACUGGAACCCGUAGAUCCGAACUUGUGCGCAAUUGCCGUUGGGGUCGCGACCUGCGACUAUUCUGCCGCACAAUCGCGCACGCGACUGAAAAGUCUGAGUGUCUUGUCGCAUCCAACGUUACACGAAAACGGCGUCAACUUCGGAUGUAGCUAAUAAUUUUAAAUCAUACAAAAGUUCUACGGAUAUUGGGACCGAUAUUGAAAUGUCAACUUUAAACUUAUGACGUUAGAGAUAGUUUUACAUUUCAGAAUUGACUCCAAUACGAAUGAUUACACUUGUAGGUAGAUAUAUUCCGAUAUAUCUGCGUAAUCACGGCACAGUGGCACCAUGCCAACAUAUCGGAAUGUAAUUUUUGAAGAAUUGUCCCUUUAAUUGUAGUCGUGAAUUUAAAACGUUUUCUACAGUGUUGCAAGUGGAAAAUUUUACUAUAGAGACGUGAUCGGAUGAUUAGUCGUUGUCGUGUCGUGCGACAGUUCAGUCGUGCGACCCCUCACAAGUUUGGUGAUACGUGGGCGCAGUUUUGGCGGGAAUUCGACGAUUCUUCGUUUAUUUUCUUCUGAUUUUUUUUUUUUUUGUUUUAUUUCUGUGCUGUUUUUUUUUUUAAUUUAUUGUGUUGUGUGCCACGAGGAUCGUUCAUAAUCGUUAUUUAAUUUGUACGCGGACAAACUUGUAACAUUAUCACUGUUUAUUAGUAAAUUGUAUAUUAAAACAUAUUGUAUAUCAGAACCAUUAUUCCACAGAUUUGUUCAGUUUUUAAAAUUGUUAGUGAAAAAUUCCCAAAAUGAAGAAUAUAUUAAUGGAGAAACACUAUUCGCGUUCUAUCUAUUAAUAUUUAUAUUCAAAUAUCUCCAAUAAUUUUUAAUUUACAUUAUAUUAAAUAACACAUGCAUACAUAGUUUUUAAAAGUCAGUUUAUGACAAAAAAAUCUAUUUAUUUCUCAAGAUUAAUUUUUAUUUUUAUUCAAGAAAAAAUUGCAAUGUAUAACCAAGACGAUCGACAAAUUUUCAAUGAAAAAUGCACUUAAGAAAUAUGUGGGCAUAAACUACAUAUUUUAAGGUAUUCUAUUACUUCCCAUUCGUGUUUCAACCGUGACGCAGUUGUGUUUGCAUGACUGUGUUUCGGUUUGAAGGGUGGGAUAUGGCGUGAAUUUACUGGGUACAGGGGAUUAACACCUGAGUCCUCAGGAAUGACAACGCAUGGAAGGUAUCAUGGGCGAAACAGUAUACUCUGUUAUGUCCAUGGUACUGCUCAUGUGUAUAGGCGACGGUUACCACUUUCCAUCAGGUGGGCCGUCAGCUUGUUUGCCAUUCUAAGUCGUAUAAAAAAAUUUAAAAAGAAACUUAAAUUUAAUGUAAAAGUGUAUGCAUGGGUUAAAUAACGAUAAUUUAGACUCGACCAGUAUUUAUAUUUAAUUUUCUUAUUUAUAAAUAAAUAGCUACUUGAUUUUAGUUUACUAUACAGUAGAGAAUACCGUGUGAAUAUUGAAUGUAACCAUAUAAUAUGACGUAUUUGAGUAACCAUAUUGAUACAAAUCCGGCGAGUCGUUUUACAUGACUGAUUAAUAGACAUUCUUCACAAACUUUGUCGGAAUAACGUCUAUUGUAAAUAUUUCCCGUAUACAAACAUACUAAGACAAAUAUACGUCUAUGUGAGAGGACUUUGUAUGAAACUUAUCGGUUCGGAUUUAUUCUGUAAUAAAACAUUUUGGUCUAUCUGAUCCAGAAAGAUAAAUUAGAUAUUUACAAGUAUAAACUGGAACUUGAAAAUUGCAAUUUUUUUAUUUCCAUUGUGGUUUCUAAAAAUAAAAAAAAAGAUUUAAAAAAACGUAUUAUUCGAUUAUGGACGAUCCUAUCAAACGCCCCCGGUACUUUGUUUGUUGUGAACACCUUGUUUUUAUUAAUUUCCUAUAUUUUCUUAUUACAAUUUACUAUAAUUGUUUUGUCUAACUCCUUAUACCAUUCAUUUAUUUGUUAAUAUUUUUUUCUUUUUCUCACAAAUGUUAUGUAGUAAUUAUAAUAAGAUUAUUAGGAAAAUUUUUUUGUUAAUAAUAAUAUAAUCGAGAAAAAAUCUACUUCAGUUGUUGCAAAUAUAAUUAUUUCGAUUGAAAAAUUAAAUUACUGAACCGAUUUUGAUAAAAUAUCUGUAGAACUAAUCUAUAAGCGUAUUCUUUUAGAUAAAAAAAGAAUUUUCCAAAUUGGUCCAUGAGGUGACAAACAUAAAAUACAACUAAGUUGAGAGAACCCCUUUCUUUUUGAAGUCGUUUGUAAAACAACAAUACCCAUUUUGUUACACAAUAAUAAUCCACUAAAUAAUUGAAAAAAACAAAUAUAUAAAUAUGUUUUAUAGAAAAAGAAAAACACGACGUACAUAUUAUUUUCAAAAAUUUAUGAAGAAAAAUUUUGAAAAUUUAUGCGUAAAUUCUAUGAGUUUUAGUAUCUGUUUUAAGGCAACGAGACGUGGAAUAAUUGUAUACUUUAUGUCACUUGUAUUUGUAUAUCAAACUAAAUCUCGUUCUCGUAGGACUUAUAUUAGCCAAUAGGUAUUUAUCCAUGCAAUUUUCUGAAAUUAAUAACGAACGCUAGAAAUUUCAGAUCGCUGCAUGAAAUACUAAUAAAAAAAGAAUUAAAAAGCUCCGAUUUCCGUGUGAACGCGUAUCUAUGAUUUUUUACUCCGAAGCUUUGAGAUUAUAUUUUUUAUGUUAAACUUCUAGCAUAGACAAACCUACGCCCCUGUAGUUGGUAGUUAAGAAAAACAAUAAAAUAAUUUCACUUUAAUAAAAUGUAAACGUAUUUCGGAUUACAAAAUAUUGUCGCCGCUAUUAGUAUAUAUUUGCGCCACAGGGCUCGUAUGGCGACUGUUUCAGGAUUCACUGCAUGUGAAUCCUGAAACAGUUGUCUGCAUCCUGUUCUUAUUUAAUUUCUAAUGACUACGAGUAUAAUAGAGAGUAGAAGUGGCAAAAUGCUGGGCCACCUUAUACGACAUGACGAUUUUUUAAAGGGCAUAGUAGAAGGAAAAAUAGAGGGCAAAAAAGAAAGGGGAAGACCAAGGAAUAACUAUAUGGGACAGAUACAAGAAACACUAGGUGUCAUGUCGUAUAGGGAGGUCAAGGAUAUGGCCUGGGAUAGAGCUGGCUGGAAGAAGAUGCAUGAAUUAGUUGCACCGACAAGAGGAAACUCUUAAAUGAAAAGAGAGAGAUGAGUAUAAUAUUACUAAUAAGAUGUUAACGUAUACAAGGAGUGCAAAUUGCGGCACAGUAUAUUUUUUGGAAUGAAUGUUAUUAUAAUAUGUAUUAUCUAUAAAUUAUUAUACAAUAUUGUUUGAUUAGUACAAAUAAGUACCUAAUUUAAUAGCUAUAUAUCUAUAUUUCCAUUAUAUGUAUAAUACGAAUAAUUAUCAAGAAGAAGAGAGAAGGAGUUAUGGAAGUUGGUGGGAGGGGGGACGAGAAGAGAACAAGCCGUCGGUGGGGUGAGGUAGUAGGUUGUAUAGUACUGCAUUACACCCUUUAGGAGACACUGUAUAGCCUGCUAACUUUCCUGACCGGCGGCAGUACUACAGUACAGAAUGAAGAAAGAAGACAGAAGAAAAUAGAAAAUACAUUUUUCCUAAUAGAAUAUUGAACGUAUCGUGUAAAAAGCAGAGAGAUAAAUAAAUAUAUGCUAUAAAUAUGCAUUUGCGUGCAUUGCAUGUACAAUUUGUAAACUAAAUAUAUAUAUAUUUAAGUGCACAUAUAUGAUAUGUAAAUAAUGAUAAAAGUCACACAAACAUGCAUUUAUGAAUAUAUAAAGAGAAAACAAACAAACAAACAAAACUUACGUCAUCACUCAUUGCACGUUUUAGGUAUCAUUUAUUAUGAAUUACAUAUAAUAUAAUAUAGCGUCAGGGAUGUCCUUUUCUAGGAAUCUGUCCGUUUCUAGAAUAAGGGCAUACGGGUAUACGACCCCGGCCUCCCGAGCCGCUGCAGUGUCCCAUUCCUUUCCGCAACUGCAGUGUCCCCCCACAAGUCCCUUCUACCUCUUAUUUACCAAUUUCCUUGACAUAUUUCUUAAUCCUUUCCUACGUACCGUAGGUGGCGGAAUCCACCAACAAAUGCAUUCCCAAGGAAGGUUGACAUUAUACUUACUUGAUAUUUUUAUUAAAUUAAUGGUAUAUAUACACUUCUACUUGAAAUAAAAACAUUACCAAAUAUA